rnacentral:misc_RNA from 1 species
CCGCAGCUGCGUGGUGGCCAGUGCCCGCCUGGCCCCGCGAUCGCUGGUGUGUGCAUGCGUGCGUGCUGUCGAUAAACGGGCUAUACCGUGUCACCCGCCAUGGUCACCAUGGACUUGUUGAACUUCAUCUCGUUAGCCAUUGACCUCCGCGACUACCCGGGAUACGCGACAUGCAUCCGCGCCACUGAAUACCCUGGCCUCGCCCUGUGCGAGUACAGCGCGGUCACCGGUAUGCGCUACACGGUACCACUUGGCUACGCGGCAUCCGCGGUGUACUUUUACCUUUACCACCGCCCCCGCCUCUCCUUCGCCGACCGCUCGCUAACCAAGUUACACCACUACUUCUACCCAAGCGCCGGCUACAGCACGCCACUCGGAAUCAUCGGCGGCGUUCUUUACGGCGCUGCCGAGUGCGUGCAAGGUCUUACACCGGCGGCUCUGGAGGCCACCGCCGCGCGGGAAAAGGCGGCUGCUGUGAUGGCUGCAGAGCAGUACAGUCAACGCCACCGCGCGGCGAAGCAACGGCUGAAAGCGGAACAGUCGUUUGCCUCCAAGGCACUGGCCUGGCUGCGGCUGUGCGAAGACCCGGUGCAGGCAGAGCUCGCGCGCAUGGGACUCGGAGAGGACAGCAUUGCGUGGGAGACUCUGCUAGUGCCGCAGGGGUAUCUCUGGACGCAGCUGCACUCCGUCGUGCACGAUCCUGCCCGGUACCGCGGCUACGAGGCUCCUGUCGCGAUCGGUGCGGCAGUCCCCACUUCAACGGACGAGAGGCUCAGCCAACCUUCUGGCGGUGCCAGUACGCCGUGCCCCUCGCCUUCCGGGGUUUUGUCGUUUUCGAGAGCGUAUUUUACGAAGCCGCAGGUGGACGCUGUCGUGAGUCGGAUAGGGACGCUGCGCACCUCGCCGGAAGAUGACCGCUGGAUGCGCUCGGCUGGCCGCUGCGGCGCCUACGGCGUUUUUGGCAUGCUGCUCACGUGGAACAGCGGCGGUGCUCUGUUUCGCGCGCAGAUGGGACUUGGCCUUGGUGUGACGAUUGCCGGUCUGGCGUCCGCGACGCGGCUGGAUGAAGUGUUCGCUCACCUGUGACAUGUGUGUGCGUGUGUGCCGUGCGUGUGUCUGUGCAGCGAUGCCCUUUUUUGUCUUCACACGCUUGCCAGAACGGCGGCCGCUGAGGCGACCACAGCGGUGGCCUUUUUGCCCCACUUGUGACUGGUCUUCUGUACGCGAUGUGCGCGUGCCUAGGACGAGACCAUGAUCAUUCGAGAAGGCGAAAAGAAAAAAUGAUAGCAACAGCAGGACGUCGAACUGUGAGCACCGACAGGAGCAGCGCCAGCCGAGCAGUUUGUGUAAGGGGCGUGUGGCUGUGCGUUGGAGGAGUGUGGGAGGGGACCAAAUAUCCUCCGUCGUUGCUCCUCUCACUGCGCGUGAUCGAGUCUCUCUCUGUUUUUUAUUUUUUUCUUGGGUGUUUCUUCUUCGUGCGAAUGGCGAGGCCAUGGGCCCACUGGAAAGAGGGGCAAGAGGCAUCCAGUAUCCUUCUUCCAGAC